rnacentral:rRNA from 1 species
AUUGAGCGCUGGCGGCAUGCCUUACACAUGCAAGUCGAACGGCAGCACGGGGGGCAACCCUGGUGGCGAGUGGCGAACGGGUGAGUAAUGCAUCGGAACGUGCCCGGUAGUGGGGGAUAACUCGGCGAAAAGUCGAGCUAAUACCGCAUACGUACCGAGGUAGAAAGCGGGGGAUCGCAAGACCUCGCGCGAUUGGAGCGGCCGAUAUCAGAUUAGGUAGUUGGUGGGGUAAAGGCCCACCAAGCCAACGAUCUGUAGCUGGUCUGAGAGGACGACCAGCCACACUGGAACUGAGACACGGUCCAGACUCCUACGGGAGGCAGCAGUGGGGAAUUUUGGACAAUGGGCGCAAGCCUGAUCCAGCAAUGCCGCGUGCAGGAUGAAGGCCUUCGGGUUGUAAACUGCUUUGUUACGGAACGAAAGGACUACUGGUUAAUACCUGGGGCUCAUGACGGUACCGUAACGAAUAAGACACCGGCGUAACUACGUACGCCACGCGAGCCGCGGU